ensembl:lncRNA LINC02308 long intergenic non-protein coding RNA 2308
CCCACUAGCCCCAGACGGGCUCUGCCAUCAACCUGCAGCUCCUCCUGAGCUGCGGCUCUUCCCGCUCUGCCCCCAACACAAGGAGAGCCCCGACUUGGGAGGAGGGCUUUUCAGAUCGCAGCUUGGCCUGAGGCAGAGCCAGAGCGAUGAGGUCACCCAGCACAGCUGCUAACUAUUUCAAGGAAACAGGUGGUGGCUCUGGCCUUUUCAUGGGCUUGGAGUUUUCUGGGAGAGGCCUCUUCAAGGGCGUCCUUGAAGCCCAGCCAUGGAUGUCCCUGUGGUUGGGAAAGGGGAGCUCAGGGUAAUGGAGUAUCCUCAAGAACCUGCAGAUAUUACCUCCCUCCAGAACCGUGGUCUCAGCCCUGGCUGCAUAUUCCUUCAACGGGAGGGCUUUAGAAAUGCUGUGCCAGAGCUGCACCCCAGACCAACAAAAUCAGACUCUCCAGGAUGCGGCCAAGGCAUCAGUAUGUGGAAAGCUUUCAGGAAAACUGAGCAAAAUGAAAGCCAAUUCAAAGAAGAAGGAAUUAAGUACAUAAUUGUGCAGAUGAUACAUGGAAAUGGUAAGAAUGGUGACAAUGGGACGUAAGUGACUGAAAUUUGGGAUACAUUGGAUUAGAAGAAAAUAAGCCCCCAAGAAACCGGAAUAAGUCUGGAGGGCAGCAAGAGUGACUGUCCAGCUAAGAACCUCAUCAGCAAUACAAAACAUUGUCACAGAUGUUGAAACAGACCCUGAGGUUAAUGCAUUCUUUCCAACAUUAGGUCCUAAAACUUCUCCUGAAAAGCUACCUUAAAUCUAACUUUUGAAAGUGCACAAUAAAGGUGAAUUAAAUAAAAGCAACUUGAAAUUUUUA